AGCAGCAGCAGCAGCAGCAACACCCGCAUCCGCUGCGGGAGUAGGAGCCGGAACCACACCCACGUAGCUGCCCUUUCCUCUUCUGUCAUUUCCCCGCCCCACCACAGACCGCGUUCCCCGAGGAAACCGGCCGCCCACGCCCGGAGCAUCCUCCCCUGUUGAGCGGGCGCUGACGGACCCGGCGGCAUGAUGCGGCUGCGAGGCUCGGCGAUGCUGCGGGACCUGCUCCUGCGGUCGCCCGCCGGCGUGAGCGCGACUCUGCGGCGGGCACAGCCCCUGGUCACCCUGUGCCGGCGUCCCCGAGGCGGGGGACGGCCGGCAGCGGGCCCGGCUGCCGCCGCGCGACUCCACCCGUGGUGGGGCGGGGGCGGCUGGCCGGCGGAGCCCCUCGCGCGGGGCCUGUCCAGCUCUCCUUCGGAGAUCUUGCAGGAACUGGGCAAGGGAAGCACGCAUCCGCAGCCCGGGGUGUCGCCACCCGCUGCCCCGGCGGCGCCCGGCCCCAAGGACGGCCCCGGGGAGACGGACGCGUUUGGCAACAGCGAGGGCAAAGAGCUGGUGGCCUCAGGUGAAAAUAAAAUAAAACAGGGUCUGUUACCUAGCUUGGAAGAUUUGCUGUUCUAUACAAUUGCGGAAGGACAAGAGAAAAUACCUGUUCAUAAAUUUAUUACAGUAAGUUUUUAUAUUUUUCUAUCUUAACUUACAAAAUCAGUAAUAAUAAAUAUAUACAGUAUUAUUGAAAUAUAGUCUUAAAGGUCGUCUGACAUGUAGAUUCUGACUGACACUAUUUCUCCUAUUAUGUUUUCAAAUUUUUAUCAUGCUCAUUUCAAGGUAAUCAGUGAAAGAAAAAGAAAGAAACAAUGAGAAACUUGUCCAGAAAGUGGGUAAUAGUGACACUAAGAUGCUAUAUUCAUGUUCAAGUGUUGGGUAGAAGUUUUUAUAUACAGGAAUAAAAUCUUAUAGUUGGUAUAAGCAUAUACAUUUUUUGCACUAUAUAUUUACAAACUCUUAUUUUUUUAAAAACAGGCACUCAAAUCUACAGGAUUGCGAACGUCUGAUCCCAGGUUGAAAGAGUGUAUGGAUAUGUUAAGAUUAACUCUUCAAACAACGUCAGAUGGUGUCAUGCUAGACAAAGAUCUUUUUAAAAAGUAAAAGUUUCUGCCAAACCUUUAAUGGUGAUUUGCUAUGCUAUACGGUGAUUCUGCUUUUAAAACAAAAUUGCAUCUUUGAAGGCCACUGCUUCCUGUGUAAUGGAAAAAGGGGAUUUAUAAACAUCAUUUGUUUGAAGAACUUGGUACACAUUAGGUUCUGUAAUACACCGGGCUAAGAGUAUUCUUUCUUUAAAUCUGUUCUAAGCAAAUUUAGCCACCGAUGUUUCCAGUUUACAGUACUUGGAGACUGCAUUCAGUUUGAGUAGAGCACAUCCUUUGUCCUGUCAUUGCUUAUAUUGAUCCCCAAUUCAUCUGCAUGACUUGCACGCUUUCUCAGCAUGGUCUCUAGUUCUUUUCCACAAGGUGAUUUAGGUGACAUCAUAAAAUGAGAGGGCUUCAGACAGACCUGUGUUCCUCACAUUUACAUACCUGCAUUGUCUGCUCCUCUCCUCUCUUCAGACAUAUUAAUACAUAGGCUUUUGGCUAUUUUCAUUUUCUUCAAAACAGUAAAGAACUAAAGGCAACUUUGGAGAUUAAAGCGUUGAUUUGGUUGAAUGAGAAUUUUUACUUUGAUGUUCCUGUAUUUGUAUAUAUUUAUUAUUUAUCUUCAUUAAUGUGUUUCUAUUAGUUUGAUUACUUAAAGAUUUAAUGGACAUGUGUGUAAUGGAUCCCAAAGAAUCAAAUAGUAUUUUGAACUACUACUAUUUAAGUAGAAACUAGUAUAAAACUGUAAAUACUGCUAUAAGACAUUGGUUUUUUCCAGACAUGGAUCCAAAAAAUUUCUGCAUCUACUUUGAAAGUUUGUUAUGUAUGGGUGUAUUUACUUUUGUUUUAUCUUCU
rnacentral:sRNA from 1 species